AUUGAACGCUGGCGGCAGGCCUAACACAUGCAAGUCGAACGAGUGGCGGACGGGUGAGUAAUGUCUGGGAAACUGCCUGAUGGAGGGGGAUAACUACUGGAAACGGUAGCUAAUACCGCAUACCAUCGGAUGUGCCCAGAUGGGACUAGCUAGUAGGUGGGGUAACGGCUCACCUAGGCGACGAUCCCUAGCUGGUCUGAGAGGAUGACCAGCCACAAUGGAACUGAGACAGCGUCCAGACUCCUACGUGAGGCAUCAGUGGGGAAUAUUGCACAGUGGGCGCAAGCCUGAUGCAGCCAUGCCGCGUGUAUGAAGAAGGCCUUGGGUUUGGAAAGUACUUUCAGCGGGGAGGCGUUACCCGCAGAAGAAGCACCGGCUAACUCCGUGCCAGCAGCCGCGGUAAUUC
rnacentral:rRNA from 1 species